GCACCUAUAGCUCAGCUGGAUAGAGCACCGCCCUUCUAAGGCGGGUGUCAGGGGUUCGAAUCCCUUUGGGUGCACCA
rnacentral:tRNA from 1 species